rnacentral:rRNA from 1 species
GAUGAACGCUAGCGGCAGGCUUAAUACAUGCAAGUCGAGGGGCAGCAUGAACUGUAGCAAUACAGUUUGAUGGCGACCGGCAAACGGGUGCGGAACACGUACACAACCUUCCUUGAACUGGAGAAUAGCCUCUCGAAAGAGAGAUUAAUACUCCGUAACAUAAUGAAGUGGCAUCACUUUAUUAUUAUAGAUACGUCGGUUCAAGAUGGGUGUGUGGCUGAUUAGGUAGUUGGUGAGGUAACGGCUCACCAAGCCAACGAUCAGUAGCUGAUGUGAGAGCAUGAUCAGCCACACGGGCACUGAGACACGGGCCCGACUCCUACGGGAGGCAGCAGUAAGGGAUAUUGGUCAAUGGACGCAAGUCUGAACCAGCCAUGCCGCGUGAAGGAUGAAGGCCCUCUGGGUUGUAAACUUCUUUUAUCUGGGACGAAAUCCCC